CAGAAGGCUGGCAGGGGAGUGGGAGGUUUGUGUCUUGGCCCCAAAAUCUUGUCCUGGUGAAAUGAUUGAUGCAGUGACUGCUGCACCAACACUACACCUGAGACAGAGUCUGUAUCCCUUUCCCCAUCACCUAAUUGGUCAUGUGGGAGCAGGAAAGCUUCCUACCAGAGUUCUCUUGAGACUAAAUUAUGGCAACACUUACCCAAGAGUCUUCUAAUUCAGAUAUCGAAGUCUACCUUGCACACCAACCCGAGCCAACCCAGGCAACCCAGUAAAAUAAAACCAGCCCAAACUUCUUUUAUGUACAGUCACAGCCUUUGGUCCUCAACUUGUAAAACUGAAACCAUUAACUCAGCAUCUGUCUUCCCCUUAGGCCAUCAUUCCCUGCCUAUCACAUCUAUCCAAGAAACGUAUUCCAGUGCUCAUCCUUUAAUCCAGUCUGAAAACUGUCCAGCCCAAGGCUGCUCCCCUCUCUUACUGGCAACAUUCUCCCUCCAACAGCUUCAGCUCCAAUGGUGAACACAUUUUAGCCACAUAACUUCUCAGAGUGGCAAAAAAGGCCGGGGUCCUUUCCAGAUCCCCAGAUUUGAAAAUAUGAAAGUCUGAGAAUCAAACAGACCAGCCUGACACAAGCCUACAUUUUGCUUCCCUAAAUUGUGGUAUUCAAACAAGGACAAGAAAGAUGAGUUGUUGGUUACAAGUACAGAUGAAUAGAAAUAGAAUCAACACACAAACAAACAAUUUUCUGACUGAAGUAAAAAGCCAACUCUCUUCAAUGGAGCCAAGAUUUCACUUGUAUGGUAUAGCUCAAGAAAGUCUCUUAGAUUUAAGCUAUGAUCAGAACCCAAGGUGAAGUAUCACUCCAGUAACUGAAACACAGACAAGGAUGAUGCUGUAGAAGAGGUUGGUUUUAUUAUAAGAACUUGAGAAAUCCAUUUUUUUAUCUCAAAAAUGUCAAAGAAUGCCAAGAUAUGGUGUAAUUUCACGUCACUCAGCUCUGUUUCAAACAGUUUUGCCAUCCUAUUUCCAAGCAGCUUUCUUGUCAUUAAACACAUUUACGUGGUGUCUCUAGAUUGUUUUCUUCAGCAAAUUCACUGCUCAAAUUUGCCAGGCACACCGAGCAAAGCAACAGGGGAGUUGGGCUCCCAAUGGGGAGCAGUUUAUAACACUAGCAGACAAUUCAUGUCAGUCCUGAGUCUGAUGAGUCCCAUUGCCCUUCUUGGAGGUAGCUCAUUUCUACCAGUUCAGAGUUUUAAGGAGAUAUGUAUGUUUACUUAAAGGAAGGGGACCAAGAGGAAAUUGAUAGGGCAGAUGAAGAAAACACUGAAGGACUUUUGUGAUCUGCUUUCCCAGACAAUGAGCUUUUCUACUCAGCACAGAAGGAAAUCCCCAUUGGAAAGCCUGCUAGAUGCACUGUCCUGUCACUGAAUGGAGUGGAAAAUCUCAGAAAUUAAAAAGCAAAAGAGCGGAGCUGGAAAUAAAAGGAGGACGUUGUAGCCUGAAAGUGAAACUCUCUAUUUGAAUACACUCUGGAGAAGUAGAAUAAGUGUUUCCUAAUUAACUUGCAUUUCAGUUGGCAUAUUUAUGGCUGUCACUGCACAAGUAGACCAAUAUAUGAAGCAUUUUACUAAAGGGUCUCCAGAGAAAAGCAUCCAAACCUGCCAGCAACCAUGUUUCAGAGAUUUAACCUCUACAGCCGUAAUGGUUCAGUUAAAGUUCUCUCUCCAUGCAUGCAGAUUACAUCAUCUUACUGAGCAGAACGCAUGCUUGACUUUGGUAAAUACCUUCUCUAUUUAACAUGCAACGUUUUUAUUUGUGGUCAUGGUUUAUUUGGUUUGCUCAUAAAAGUUACCAAGUUAUGCUUAUGAAAGUUACCAAGUUAAAUAAAGGUAUGGG
ensembl:lncRNA